rnacentral:rRNA from 1 species
CAAGUCGAGCGGAAACGAGUUAUCUGAACCUUCGGGGAACGAUAACGGCGUCGAGCGGCGGACGGGUGAGUAAUGCCUAGGAAAUUGCCCUGAUGUGGGGGAUAACCAUUGGAAACGAUGGCUAAUACCGCAUAAUGCCUACGGGCCAAAGAGGGGGACCUUCGGGCCUCUCGCGUCAGGAUAUGCCUAGGUGGGAUUAGCUAGUUGGUGAGGUAAGGGCUCACCAAGGCGACGAUCCCUAGCUGGUCUGAGAGGAUGAUCAGCCACACUGGAACUGAGACACGGUCCAGACUCCUACGGGAGGCAGCAGUGGGGAAUAUUGCACAAUGGGCGCAAGCCUGAUGCAGCCAUGCCGCGUGUGUGAAGAAGGCCUUCGGGUUGUAAAGCACUUUCAGUCGUGAGGAAGGUAGUGUAGUUAAUAGCUGCAUUAUUUGACGUUAGCGACAGAAGAAGCACCGGCUAACUCCGUGCCAGCA